rnacentral:rRNA from 1 species
ACAUGUCUUUAUGUAUAUAUAAGUCUUACCUGCUCACUGAUAUUUUAAAUAGCCGCGGUAUAUUGACCGUGCAAAGGUAGCAUAAUCAUUAGUUUUUUAAUUGAAGGCUGGUAUGAAAGGUUUGACGAGGAAUAAACUGUUUCUAUUUAAUAAUUAGAAUUUAACUUUUAAGUUAAAAGGCUUAAAUUUUAUUUAAGGACGAUAAGACCCUAUAGAUCUUUAUAUUAUGAUUUAUUUAAUAAUAAGUUUAUUUCUUUUAUUAUAAUUUAAUAUUUUGUUGGGGUGACAUAAAGAAUAAUUAAACUCUUUAUUUUAAUUUCAUUACAUAUAUGAAUUAAUGAUCCAUAAUUUAUGAUUAUAAGAUUAAGAUACCUUAGGGAUAACAGCGUAAUUUUUAUAGAGAGUUCAUAUUGAUAUAAAAGAUUGCGACCUCGAUGUUGGAUUAAGAUAAAUAUAUGGUGCAUAAGUUAUAUAAUUAGGUCUGUUCGACCUUUAAAUUCUU